rnacentral:lncRNA from 10 species
UGGUGAGCCAGCCAGGAGUGAAGACGACAGGUUUGCUGUCUCCUUUGCCUGUGGGUCUGGGGCCCCAGCCUGGGGGAGACCCGUGACUCCAGGCAUGCUAUCAGGACAACUUCAACCCGAGGGGAGAUCAGCUCUCCCGCAACCUGGUGCCGCUCUCUGACAGCACAACAGAACCUAAGGGGCUACAGGAUGAUUCAAGGAACAGUGUGCUACAGGACCUCGCAAGAAGACCCUCACCAGAUGCAGCCCCUCUAUGUUGGACUUCCCAGCCUCCGGAAGUUAGAAAUGUGCUACAACCACUCAAGGUCUGCAAACAGAUUCCUAUUUAGAUGUUGUUGAGAGCUGAAUUUCUGGAACAAGAGAUAUAGAUUAAGACUGUUGUUACAUGUUGCCUACAUGACUUUCAAAAGCUUGAUUCCCAGUGGCGCUCUCAACAGCAGUCAUAAACAAUGGUAAUUCAAUGUAUAUUUAUAUUCAACUGAUAUAUUAAUUGGAAUAUAUUAAAAAUACGUAUAUUUAUAUUCAGAAUA